CCUACGGGUGGCAGCAGUGGGGACUAUUGCACACUGGGCGAAAGCCUGAUGCAGCCACGCCGCGUGAGCGAUGAAGGCCUUCGGGUCGUAAAGCUCUGUCCUCAAGGAAGAUAUUGCCGGUUCUUGAGGGCGAAGCCCUGGCUAACUACGUGCCAGCAGCCGCGUUCAUACGUCGGGGGCUAGCGUUAUCUGGAAUUACGGGGGGUAACGGGUGCGUUGGUGGUGUCUUAAGUCAGAGGUGAAAGGCUACGGCUAAACCGUAGGAAGCUUUUGAAACUGGGGAGCCUGAGUGCAGGAGAGGAGAGUGGAAUUCCUAGUGUAGCGGUGAAAGGCGUAGAUAUUAGGAGGAACACCAGUGGCGAAGGCGGCUCUCUGGACUGUAACUGACACUGAGGCACGAAAGCGUGGGGAGCAAACAGGAUUAGAUACCCGAGUAGUC
rnacentral:rRNA from 1 species